rnacentral:lncRNA from 1 species
UCAUGUUAUAUACAUACAGUUGCUGAAAUCAUUCAUGUUUUUCUUAUGUUGAUUUUUUGAAUCAUUUUCCUUCGCAUUGUUUAAUUUCGAUGCGUUGAUUGAUGGAGUUGGGUUUUCAGGCGAGUUUGCAGACAACUACAUCAAUUCCCUUACAACCUUUGCAGUUCCAUUGCCUCCCAGGCUAUCAAGAUGGCAAUGGAAGAAUGUCUAAAUCAGCUGCAUAUAGGAAGCUUAGAAAAUUAGGCUCUUCCAAGGUAAUGAAUGUAUGUAUGUAUGUAUGUAUGUAUUGCUUGAUUGUGGUAUUUUGCUUUAUGUAGGAGCAACAACCAAGUAGACCAUGGCUUGGAAAUGCUGGUAUGGUACUCAAUCAAUGAGCCAAAUUUGUUUUUUUUUUUUAAAGAAUUAAUUGUUAAUUUUUUAUAUAUACAUAUUCAUGUUUUCAUUUGGAGGUUUUGAAGGAAUAAUACCAAAAAAAAAAAAGCUACGAAAUCCUGCAAAGGUCCAUUCUUUACUUCUUUUUUUAACUAAUUUAACACAUAUAUCUAAUAUGUAUUUAAUUAUGAAAAUAGGGAUACGACCCUUUAAAUACACGUAUUCGACGUUGAUACCCAAACCCGAGUAACAUAGGCAUUCAUUUUUUUCUGUCCCCCUGACUAUGCUAUUUGUGUUAUUUUCAGAAGCAAGGACUGCAUCAACCUUGGUUGAAACAAAAGCCAUUGGAUUAUCAGAACAAUGCUGGUAAUUUUUGGUAUCCUGAGAUUUCAUUUGAUUCAAUGUUUGAACUCAAAUUUACAUGGAAAUUUUCAAAAUAUGAUUCCCUUGUUUUGUCAGGUUUGGUAGAACUAAGACAAACAUUUAGACUGCAAGCUCAUGAAAUGGUUUGUGUAAACUUCUGGAUGCCCUUAUUUCUGCUUUUGUGUAAUUUCUUGUUGUCCCGGCCCUUCAUCUUUCAUUUAGUAUCCAAUGAGUUUAUUUAUGGGUAUGGGUAGGAUAUCAAUCCGAAAUGUGAGAGAGUAUGAAUAAUUGAAAGAGGCCGACUUAAAUUUAAUAGCUCAAGCUUUAUUCCUUUUGUAAUUUAUUUUAUUUUUAUAUAUGACGUAAUUUAUUUAAUAUAAAAUUAAACAUAUAAUAAUAUAAUAAUAUGUAAAUAUUAAAAAUAUAUAUAUUAAAUUUUAAUAAUAAAAAAAUUAUAUAAAAAAUAAACGAUUAAUCAUUUACAGAUACAAUCAAGCUUCAAUAAAAUUUUAAGUUCAUAUUUCGAAUCGAACAAACUUUAGGCAAACAUAAAAUAUAUUGUUUCAAACUAAGAAAGGAUUUUGAAAUUGAUUUCAGCAGCUGAAUUGACAAAGCAGGAUCAUUAGAGUGAAUGCAAUGGAUACAACUAUUGAGCAAGGUAUAUUUCAACAUUAUCUUCUAGUAGUCUCUUAACAUGAAAUAGUAGAAAACCAAUAAUAAUAAGUUCAUCAUCAAUACUAGAACAGGAUCGAACUAACCCAUUAGCUAUCAUAGUUUCUUCUGGAAUUUGACUGCAUACAUUGCCAUAGCUGUUGAGCCGAGUUACUUCUAGACCAUGAAAAUGUGAAUAACAGUGUGAUUUGAAGUGCCUAAAAUUGAGAUUUGAUGAGAUUCAGGGCCGUAAAGUAUCCCAUUAUAUGUGGGUGAGAGAUUAGGUGGUGAAGGGUUAUAAUCAAAGCGCUGAAAUAGGGGCCCAUUUUGAUUGUGAUCUGCGGAAGAGAUUUUAAUUAUGAUUCUGACAAAUCAAUGCUGCAAGCUGGAUUUUGCCCAAAGUACCCCCAAACCCCAUGUGCUGUGGUCUUUGUAGGCCUUACCCAAACUUUAAUGAUUUUCAAUGAAUCCGGGAUUCCUUUUCAUUUCAA